CUCAGUGCCACCACUGUCUGAGAGAAAGCAGCAAGGAGGACCUGCUUCGUCGGAGUUAACUUCCAGCAUUCCAGUGGGCAGGCGCAGCAGCAGCCAAAGCUAGUACAUUUUAAUGAAUGAUCUGCUUAUUCCACUAUCAUUACCUCCUGUGAAAUCCAGCAUCUCACAGGAGCAAAGAACACAAGAGCAGGCGGUCCUACAAGACAACGGCAGGCAGUCCUACAAGAGGAUCACAAGCCAUUCAUUUCGACGAUAUCAUUAUCGCCUCCGAAAUACGUCUCACAGAAGCCUACAAGACAAGACGAGGGCAGGCAGUCCUACAAGAGAAU